GAUCUCUGCCUAGCUGCCAUGGCACAAAAUACGUUCUCUUCGGUUCCUGCAACCAUGCUUCCCUGAAUCAAGCACCUGGCUGGCAAGAAGAGGAAGCCUGGGAGCUUUGCAGGGGAUGGGGGAACUGGGAGACCCGCUCCUGCAACUUCCUGAGCGCCUGGUGGAGUCCUGCCACCUGCCGGGGACUCACAUGUAGAGGAUCGCCCUGAACAGGAAGACGCUGAAGGCGGGCAGCCAACGAGCUCACGGCGCCAACUGCCCACCAUACGACCGGGGACUGUGCUGAUAUGCGAACAGUGGAAUGAGCUAGCCUGUCUUUAGGCAACACAUACAUCAGCUCACUGAUGACAAAGGAGAGUGACAGAUGGGCUCACCUUCCCCUUCCACAGGGGGCCAAGCCAAGCAGGGAGGUGCUGCUCCUGCCUCGUGGGGAGACUGUCAGAAGCCCAGUCAGGCCCUGCAAGAUAUGCCGGCAUUUGGGGGUGAAGGGAGGCUCAAUAGCAACCCUAGGAUGGCCCGUGGGAGCCUCCUGGGUCCCUCAAACACCCUGAAUUUGUAUGCAAAGUGUUGCAUGUAUGCACGUGUCAUUUUUCUGAAACAAGUUGGAGACUUUGUGGGCUGCUGAGAUGCAGACUCCCGGAACAGCAGCUCCUAAGCACCUCUUCCUGACUCCAGAGACCCACGGUGCUCUAAGUGGUCACCUUCCAUUCCCAUCUGUCAGCACGAGAUCCCACUGUCCCCACUUGUGCCCGUCUCUGCUUGCCGCGGUUAACACUCCAGCCCCAAAUGCUCCUCCCUGCCACACGGGCGGUCACACACCCACCGCCGACCUAAAUCCCUCUACAGAGAUGUUCAAGACCUCUCAUUUGAACACAUCCAAACCAGUACCAUCAGAGCAGAGGAGGUAGAAGCAGGGGCUGUUGUGCGUGGAGUGAACUCCCUCUGCGAAGGCACCGUGCCCACAGCCUUGAGUGAGGCGAACACCUGCUGUGGAAAGCAAGCGGAUGAACAGAUAAAUAAGUAGCUGGUGUUCGUUCAUUCACCAUGAUCUGAUUUUCUUCAGCUCUUGCCCUGCUUUGUUUAGGUAAGUGUCCCCACAGCCCAUGUGUGGAAGCCUGCUCCCCAACCCUGUGGUGCGGUGGAGAGGCAGUGGAACCUUUAAGCGAGGGGCCCAGCAGGAGGAAGUUGGUUGCUGGGGAUGUGCCCUGGAAGGGGAUAUUGGAACCCCAGACUCUUCCUCUCUCUCUUCUGGAGUGUCCUGAGGAGCAGGUGUCUCCUCCGCCCCUCCCACUCCUGCCCAAGAGGUCUUCAUCAUGUCUGUUGACCUGCCACAGGCCCCCAAACAGCCGGACAACCCCACUGUGGACUGCAACCCUGAAACUGUAAGCCACAAUAAGCCUUUGCUCCUUUUAAGUUGGCUCCUUAUCAGCGAUGGGGCCUGGACGUGCAGCCCUCGUGGGCUGGAGGGGUCUGCUCCGCUCUCGGUCCCACCUUGCCACUCUGUGCCGGGCCUGGAGGACGCAGGCCCCACGAGGGCACAGGUGUUGGUAGCACCUGGUUCCAAGCAGCAGCCCGCCUCCAACCUCCCUUCCGCUCCCACGGGCAGGGGAAGUCACGGGAGGGAAACAUCCCUUCACCUUUCGGAGGGCGAAAAAGAAGGGCCAGGAGCCCCAGGGGACAGCUACCCUGGCAGAGGACAGGAGGCGCAGGCAGCUCCCCUUGGGUCAGGUCUGGGACUGAGGUGUAAGGGGCCAGGGCAGCUCAGGGAACACACGGAUGUUUUUAAGUCACGUUCAACCCAGACUCCAGGCACCGACUGGGAAGGCCCUGCGCACCUCGGACUCGGCCCAGGCGUGUCCACGGCCCGGGAGGUGGACACUUGGGGAAGUCUGAAGUACCACGGGCAUGUAGAUGUCACCAUCUUCUUUUUUUCCUUAAAGAACAAAAUAGGACUCUUUUUGUGUUUGUUCGUUUGUUUCGUUGGGGAAAAUCUGCUUUGCUCCCCGCAGAGGGGCGAGGGGACCCCCGGGCCCGCGGCCACGGCGCUCCCCGCGUGCAGUUCCCGUGGUGCCCACCGGGUGGCGCAGGCGCCGCGCUCUGACCGCGCGGGCGAGGCAGCGGCGUGCGGACGGCGCCGGACCCCUGCG